AAUGAGUGACCCUGUUAACUGGUGUCUGUCAGGUGAAUGCGUCAGUGGUUGCUCAUACAGCAAAUGUCGAAAACAGGAAAAGGACAGCAGUUUUCUGGGAGUAGUGAUGCAUUACCUGACAGAAGUUCAGCGGUACCAAUAUUUUGGGCCAUGACUGUAGAAAGCCUUCCACGAAUGAGGAUGCCAUUUCCCUAGGACGCCAUUUCUGUGAGUGGAGCUCAGGACAAUGGAGUACAUUUCCACAUGAAAAGAUGGGGACAGAGAAGGAGCAGGAGGAGGUACAGAGUGCUGUGCCCUUCAUCUGCGUUACCAUGGGGAUCAACUGUACUGCACCCUCCAGGACUGUAAUUGGCUGAAGAGGGUUCCAUUUGGCCUCUCAGAAUCCCUCUCGCGAGUUCUUUCUGUCGCAUGUUCCAUCUAGCCACUUCACAGUCCUAUUCACAUGAAAAAUAGAGAUCUUGGAUGCAUUGAUAAAACACUUUGAGUGCAACUUCAGUCUUUUUUUCAAUCACUAAUACACUGUGCUGUAUAUUUGCUUGCGUCUUUGAGAGCACUUUGCUGCCCACACAGAAAGUGUACUAGGUACCAUAAAAGUUAUAUCAACUAACUACUAAAUCUACCGCCCCCAUCUCCCGCCCCCUCCCAAAUAAAUAAAAAAAUAAAAAUGAGCGCAAAGAAACAUGAUGCAAAAAGUCAAUCAAGAAAUUCUGAGAUACAGGUCAGCACUGCAAAAGGCACUGAGAUAAAAUGUUUGAUGAUACAAUCAGUUCUUUUUUUUUAUGUUCACCCCUCACACACUCUCACAUUGCUUUUCAAAUUAUAUUCACAAAAGGCUAUUUCACCAAAUCCGCUCACAUAGCCCUUUCUGUUAUCAAGAUGAACUGCUGACGCGGUUCAAUGCAGAAAACAAAUGUGCAAAGUCAGACAGCACUUCGCCCAUCUCCAAGAGAAUACCUCAGUCAGACGAACACGCUUAUCUCUGAUGUAUUCUCACCAAGUUCUCUGUGCUGACAAAGAAGUGCAACUCUAAACUGGGGUUUUUGCUCGAUACCUGUUGAGCAGCACAGUGAAUCAAGGGUGAUGUCAACAUUUGUACUGCAUCUCUACACAGAAUCAGCGCAAAUGUUGACAUCACCCUGGUUUUAGAACUUUUUUCACAUCUACACCUAAGGUAAAAGGAAUCAUAAUAACCAUUUUGUAAUCUUACUGUGACUUGGUCUGAAUGUUUUCACUCUUGUGGUUGUUUUUAUUCUUCAAGGUAAUAGCUGCAACUUAUAUCCAUCAGUCGGUGUGUGUUAAUCCAUCUAUCGUUUUUUUCUAUCUACAAGCACGCAUAUGUUAUACCUACAACAUGGAUAGUUCACUAAUUAUUAGUGGAUCUAAUUAGCCUGCCUUUCCUCUUGUAUGCUCUGCACGCUCCUCUGUCUUUCUGCCUCUUCAUGCAUGUUUUUUUAAGCCA